CAUAUAUGCUACAUCACUGACCAAUUUUAACUGUUUUCUCUUUUCCAGAAAUCACAGGAGAAACCAAAGAUGUUUUGGCAUCAACUAAACUUGGAUUGUAACAUUGACUCUGCCACUUUCUAGUUGUAAUGAGCUUCAAUUUUUGUCUUCUUAUAAAAUGAGGAUAAUAUUCCACACUUCACAGAGUUAUUGUAAGAAUCCAUUUAAGUAAAUGAAGUAACUGACAUGAAAACUGAUUAUGUAACUUGCCUAAGUCUUCCAACUAGGAAUGAUGCUGCAUAUAUUUAAAUCUCUGUCUGUGACACUAAGACUGCUUGCUCUGGGGAAAAUCUGUUGUCAUGUCAUGUGAACCCUCAAGCAGCCCUAAAGAAAGGUCCACAUGGCAAAGAAUUGAGUUCUUCUGCCAGCAGCCAGCAAGGAAAUGAAACCCUGUGCCAAUAGCCACAUAAGGGGACAAUCUUGAGUGAACCUUUCAGUCCC
rnacentral:lncRNA from 1 species